rnacentral:rRNA from 1 species
UGAAUACGAGAUGCUACGGCGUCGAAGCAGUCUAUGUCAUACUUCCAAGAAAAGCUCGCACUGUCAUAAACAAAUAAUGCCUGUACCAUAACCGACACAGGUGGGUAGGUAGAGUAUACUAAGGGGCGCGAGAUAACUCUCUCUAAGGAACUCGGCAAAAUGACUCCGUAACUUCGGGAGAAGGAGUGCCUUAUUUAUAAGGUUGCAAUAACAAGAUCCAAGCAACUGUUUAUCAAAAACACAGGUCUCCGCUAAGUCGUAAGACGAUGUAUGGGGGCUGACGCCUGCCCAGUGCCAGAAGGUUAAAGAAGUUGGUUAGCAUUCGCGAAGCUGAUAACUGAAGCCCUGGUGAACGGCGGCCGUAACGAUAACGGUCCUAAGGUAGCGAAAUUCCUUGUCGGGUAAGUUCCGACCCGCACGAAAGGCGUAAUGAUUUGGAUACUGUCUCGGAGAGGGGCUCGGUGAAAUAGACUUGUCUGUGAAGAUGCGGACUACCUGCACCAGGACAGAAAGACCCUAUGAAGCUUUACUGUAACUUGAGAUUGAAAUUGGACUUUACUUGCGCAGUAUAGGUGGGAGGCGUUGAUAAUAUUCUUGCGGGAUUAUUUGAGCCAUCAGUGAGAUACCACUCUUGUAAUGUUAGAUUUCUAACUUUGUAUCAUUAUCUGGUCAAAGGACAGUUUCAGGCGGGCAGUUUGACUGGGGCGGUCGCCUCCUAAACGGUAACGGAGGCGCACAAAGGUUUCCUCUGAACGGGUAGAAAUCGUAUCCAGAGUGUAAAGGCAUAAGGAAGCUUGACUGUGAGACCUACAAGUCGAGCAGGGACGAAAGUCGGUCUUAGUGAUCUGACGGUGCUGAGUGGAAAGGCCGUCACUCAACGGAUAAAAGUUACUCUAGGAUAACAGGCUGAUCUCCCCCAAGAGUUCACAUCGACGGGGAGGUUUGGCACCUCAAUGUCGGCUCAUCGCAUCCUGGGGCGGUAGUACGUCCCAAGGGUUGGGCUGUUCGCCCAUGAAAGCGGUACGCGAGCUGGGUUCAGAACGUCGUGAGACAGUUCGGUCCAUAUCCGGUGUAGGCGUUAGAAUAUUGAGAGGAGCCUUCUUUAGUACGAGAGGACCGAGAAGGACAUACCUCUGGUGUACCAGUUAUCGUGCCAACGGUAAACGCUGGGUAGCUAUGUAUGGAGUGGAUAACCGCUGAAAGCAUCUAAGUGGGAAGCCCACCUCAAGAUAAGUAUUCUCAC